GUUGAACGCUGGCGGCAGGCCUAACACAUGCAAGUCGAACGAGUGGCGGACGGGUGAGUAAUGUCUGGGAAACUGCCUGAUGGAGGGGGAUAACUACUGGAAACGGUAGCUAAUACCGCAUACCCUCAGAUUUGCCCCGAUGGGAUUAGCUUGUUGGUGUGGUAACUGCUCACCAAGGCGACGAUCCCUCGCUGGUCUGAGAGGAUGACCAUCAAAACUGGAACUGAGACACGGCCCAGACUCCUACGGGAGGCAGCAGUGGGGAAUAUUGCACAAUGGGCGAAAGCCGGAUGCAGCCAGGCCGCGUGUAUGAAGAAGGCCUUCGGGUUGUAAAGUACUUUCAGCGGGGAGGCGUUACCCGCAGAAGAAGCACCGGCUAACUCCGUGCCAGCAGCCGCGGUAAUUC
rnacentral:rRNA from 1 species